rnacentral:lncRNA from 1 species
ACAUAAUUGGAACAAAGCAAAUAUGUGAACUUCCCUGAUUUCUACUUCGCUCCUAUCUCCGCAUGAAUACCAAUGGCUACGUAAGCUGCCCAAUUGAAUACCAUCCCUUCAAGCAUCUCUACUGCUGCAUAUAAUAAUCAUUUGGAUAUAUAUGUGAGAUGUCGGUACAAUCCUAAUUGCCUCACUACAAAACAGAAUUAUUCCACAAGUUCUGAUGAAAUUGCCUCAACAGUCCACCAACCUUAGCUCUUUUCAAAGGCCAACAUACCUCCCUUGAAAUAUCUUCUUGGACUGAAGUCGCUUGAGUCAUCAACCCCUAUUGCAAUCUCUCCAAUAGGAAGAAAUAACACC